UAUUAUAUCAGAGUUGCCAAAGACAGCAGGUGCUGCAAAGCUUAAAUCCUGCCGAGGUGCGCUGAAUAUGAUUUUCUGCGUGUCUUUCUGUCUGCUGGCAGGAAGAUUUUUUAUUUU
rnacentral:sRNA from 1 species